UCCGGGGUGGCGCAAUGGCAGCGCAAGAUCCUGUUAAGAUCGAGGUUGUGGGUUCGAGUCCCACCCCCGGAG
rnacentral:tRNA from 1 species